GUUGAAGAACGUAGCGAAAUGCGAUAAGUAAUGUGAAUUGCAGAAUUCAGUGAAUCAUCGAAUCUUUGAACGCACAUUGCGCCCGCCAGUAUUCUGGCGGGCAUGCCUGUUCGAGCGUCAUUUCAACCCUCAGGGCCCUUUUGGACCUGGCGUUGGGGCUCGGCCGCUACCCUGCGGCCGUCCCCGAAAGAUAGUGGCGGUCUCGCUGUAGCCUCCUCUGCGUAGUAGUUACAUCUCGCACUGGAACGCGGCGCGGCCAUGCCGUUAAACACCCCACUUCUCAAGGUUGACCUCGGAUCAGGUAGGAAUACCCGCUGAACUUAAGCAUAUCAAUAAGCGGAGGA
rnacentral:misc_RNA from 1 species